GCGAUCAGGAACGUCAGCCUGCGUACACAUUUAUAUGUUCAGACACUCCAAUUUCAGAAUUUCAGAUAGUUCAUAUGAACAGCUAGUCUCGGUCUGACAGAAAACUCGUUCUGUGUGCCGACGUGCAGUCAGUGGCUGGCUGGAUGGAUUGAUUCUCUGCCGUGUCUCGGAUGAAACCCACAGCUGCAUCAUUUCUGGUGUUGCGUGAAUAUGGCUUCAGGUUCAGCUUAUCGACAGGCGCCACCCAGUUAAAGCAACGUAGGCAUCACUCGUCAUCACCCCAGCUGAACAAUCAAUCAGCUCGAGGCAGGGCGGGCACGCGACCGCGAAGAAAGAAGCCCAAAUUCCAGGGGCGCAAUUGCACACAAGAGUACCCAAGCCAAUCAACGGGGAUUGAAUUGAAGUAGUGUAAGCAAGAAGCAAUGAACCCAUGAUGCAUGUUAGGAGGAGCAGUUGGUUGGUUAAAAAAAGAAGAAGAAGAAUUACUGUACCAGCAGAGGACGAAGCAGAGGCCGGAGAAGGCACGCCAUCGGCCGGGGGAGAGCGCGCGGCCGCAGCAGAAGCACCUGGAGGCGACCAUGGCGACGCACUGGCCGGCCAGCAGCAGCGACAGCGCGCCGACGCCGUACCACGUCGACGCGUCCGUCCCGUACACGCAGUACGGCUUCCCUACGCCGUCCACGGUCACGUACGCCUGCACGCGCAGACGCGCUCCAUCGAUUAUACUACUUCCUCCGGCCGGAAUUACUUGCCGCCAGAUUUAGUACAAACAGAAAUAACUAAGGCCGAUUCGAUCGGCCGCCGUGGGAGAUUGAUGAAGCAGCUGGUUGAUUAAGUGAAUUACCGUGCUGCGGCGGCGCUCGGCGCCGAUGGCGAGGACGAAGGCGAGCAGAUCGAGGGCCAGCACCAGCCCGAUCACCACGAUGGACGCCAUGGCCGCCCGGAGGAGGAAGAAGGGGAUCGAAUAAUCAAGAGGAUAACACCACCGGCUAGCUAAGAUCGGGGUCAGAUGAGAAUGGACCGCUUUCCUCUCUGUUGUUUCUGUUGGUGCAGAGCUAGGGGGUCGCGGCAGAGAGAGAAGAAGAGGAUUAUGCUGGGCAUCAUCAUCGUCGUCGUCGGCUAGCCCAAGUAGCCAUCAAUCAAUCACAUCAGAGAGGUGGAGCGCCACUACUGGUCUGAGGUUGACAUCUUGCUUUAAAAUUCCCUUUCUAUUGCCCUCUUUCGCCCCGCACUUCCUUCUUCUUGGGUGGUACUCCUACUUGUACGACUACUGUACCACUACUACCACCUCCCCCUAGCUCUGCACUGCCCUGCCCUGCAUGUAUGUGUACAACAUGAUUGGAACCGGAACUAGCUUAGUGGAGUGUGUCUUUAAUUAGGUGAGAUGCCUCCCUUUUUACUUC